GGAGACUUGCCCGAGAGGCCGAAGGGGCUCCCCUGCUAAGGGAGUAUGGGGUCAAAAACUCCAUCGAGGGUUCGAAUCCCUCAGUCUCCGCCA
rnacentral:tRNA from 1 species